GGGGAGAUACCCAAGUGGUCAAAGGGGGCUGACUGUAAAUCAGUUGCGUAACGCUUCGGAGGUUCGAAUCCUCCUCUCCCCACCAGAU
rnacentral:tRNA from 1 species